rnacentral:rRNA from 1 species
CCUACGGGUGGCAGCAGUGGGGAAUUUUGGACAAUGGGGGCAACCCUGAUCCAGCCAUUCCGCGUGAGUGAAGAAGGCCUUCGGGUUGUAAAGCUCUUUCGCAAGGGAAGAAAACUUACUCAAUAACACUGGGUGAGGCUGACGGUACCUUGAUAAGAAGCACCGGCUAACUACGUGCCAGCAGCCGCGGUAAUACGUAGGGUGCGAGCGUGAAUCGAAGCUACUGCGCGUAAUUCUUGAGGUGACGGUUGAAAUCCCCGGGCUCAACCUGGGAACUGCGUUUGAAACUACAAGGCUAGAGUAUGGCAGAGGGGGGUAGAAUUCCACGUGUAGCAGUGAAAUGCGUAGAGAUGUGGAGGAAUACCAAUGGCGAAGGCAGCCCCCUGGGUCAAUACUGACGCUCAUGCACGAAAGCGUGGGGAGCAAACAGGAUUAGAUACCCGUGUAGUC